UACAGAGGUCCCAAGCGUUGUUCGGAUUCACUGGGCGUAAAGGGUGCGUAGGCGGUCGGGUAAGUCUGACGUGAAAUCUCCAAGCUUAACUUGGAAACUGCGUCGGAUACUAUUCGGCUCGAGGAAUGGAGGGGAGACUGGAAUACUUGGUGUAGCAGUGAAAUGCGUAGAUAUCAAGUGGAACACCAGUGGCGAAGGCGAGUCUCUGGACAUUUCCUGACGCUGAGGCACGAAAGCCAGGGGAGCAAACGGG
rnacentral:rRNA from 1 species